CAGCGGCGGCAGGAGCAGAAGCGGGCGCGCGUUGAGAGCCGCUGAGGGCAGCGGGCGGCUUCGGCCCGUCUUCUCGCGAGACCGCGCGAGGUUUCCGGUGUUGUGACUGCGGGGCCGUAAACAUGGCGGCCAGCCUCCGCGCCCGCUCGCUGAGGCAUCUCCGGAUCCGAGGCCGUAACGACAGCGGCGAGGAGAACGUCCCCCUGGAUCUCACCCGAGACCCUUCUGAUAAUCUGAGAGAAAUUCUCCAAAAUGCACAAACUGC